CAGAGGCAGGGCAGUGGCAGUGGCAGCCUGGGCAGGUGGGAGGCUGGUAAGAUUUCACGUGUGAAGUGGAAUGCACAUCCUUGGACUUCAGCCGCUCUCCCUGUAACCAGAGAAUGCUCAGGAAUCUUGGCACUGGGUAAGCAACAACAACAACAAAAUAUGCUGGAGCCAUCCCUCUCCCAAGCUGAAUGUCUCAUCUCUACACACUUCCAGGAUCUGCACCAUGAAGAUGCCAGCAUCAGGUAUUUGGACCCAGGGUCUCCAAAGGACAGGAUGAAGCUCAGACAUGCUCAUAUCUCAUAAAUCAAAACAGCUGAAGGGUUCCCGUUACACAGCUGAUUCGAAUGCCUUCAAGCACACCAUUACAUCUCAGUUGGUGCAGGACAAGCUUGUGAUCCAUUGCACCUGUGUAAGAAAGAAAAAAAGAAGACAAAACAAAAAAAGGGGCAGCUUUCCAAUAGUCCACUAAACUCUUCCUGGAAUUCCACACCAGAUUUUAUGAUUUACCUGGAGUUUUGGUUUCAUUGGGGAUGAUGCAGCGCACAAAAUGUGGAGCACGAGGGAAGGAAGAGCGAGGCUGCACAGAAGCCCAGUUUGAGGCACAUGUCUUUCAUCUACCAAUCAGAGGAGCAGAAGACUUCCCCUGCUCCCCCCCCCAGUAACAUCCAAACGUGACGUCGGAAAAGUUACCGUUGCUGCUAAAAGGGAUUGGCCUGUUUGCAGAAUGCAGAAGCGCAUUGCUAGCAGAUGAUGGCAUAUAUCCCAUUGGAAGAUGAGGAGAAAGAAAACAGGAACUGGAUGAGACAAAACGUCUAACCUAGAAAGGAGCAGACAGUGACUUAUCAUCAACUUGCCAUUCUCCUGAACAGGCAUGACCUAAGCAACCAUGCCAAAGAAUGAUAACUAUGCUACCAAAGAGGGAAUUGGUCACAGCUGAUGAAAGCAGCCAUUGUGUAAAUCAAAACAUACUAAUGAGAAACAAAGGGCAAGUACAUUAAACUAGGAAAACUCCCGGGCUAGUCAUUCACUUAACACAGAAUGAAAUUACAAAUCUCGACUGUUUUCUCUUAAAAUCAGCCACUUUCACUUGUGUGUGUAUGUUUCUACCCUUCAUUGCUCAACAGAAUCAAGUUUCAAAAACAGAAUACAAAGUACAUGCUGAUUUUAGCAAUUGAUUCUCGGACUGCACUGUAUUGCAAAUUUUAUUAUUUAUUUAUUUAGUUAGUUGCAUUUCUAAACCGCCCUAUAGCUAGCAGCUCCCAGGGCGGUGUACAACAUGAUAAAACCACAAUAUUUAAAAUACAGCAAGUGUGUAUUGCGCAGACAAUAUAAACAUUAUAUAAACAAAGUGAAAGAAAACUAAAAAAAUAAGAUUAAAAGCUUAAAUACUUUAAAAUGCCUGGGUGAAGAGGUGGGUUUUACCUGGCACCGAAAAGAUGACAGAGAAGGCGCCAGGCGUAUCUCAUCUGGGAGGGCAUUCCAUAAUUCGGGGGCCACCACCGAAAAGGCCCUAGAUCUUGUUACUGUUCUCUGGGCCUCUGUAUGGGUUGGGACCUGGAGAAGGGCCUUAGACGUCGAGCGGAGUGAACGGGUAGGAACAUAGCGGGAGAGGCGUUCCAUCAGAUAUUGCGGUCCAUUGCCGUUAAGGGCUUUAUAGGUAAGGACCAACACUUUGAAUCUAGCCCGGAAACAUAUUGGAAGCCAGUGCAGUUGGGCCAGAAUAGGUGUUAUGUGGUUGAAUUUCUUCGUCCCAGUAAGAACUCUGGCCGCAGCAUUCUGCACUAGCUGAAGUUUCCGAAUCGUUUUCAAAGGUAACCCUACGUAGAGAGCAUUACAGUAAUCCAAUCUAGAGGUUACCAGAGCGUGAAUAACUGAGGCUAGGUUCUCCCUGUCCAGAUAGGGUCGUAGUUGGGCUACCAGCCAAAGCUGGUAGAACGCAUUUCGUGCCACAGAGGCUACCUGGGCCUCAAGUGACAGAAGCGGAUCUAAUAAGAUCCCCAAACUACGGACCUGUUCCUUUAGGGGGAGUGUAACCCCAUCUAGGAGAGGUCUGACAUCAACCAUCUGAGCAGAGGGCCCCCCAACUAGCAGCAUCUCAGUCUUGUCAGGAUUGAGCUUCAGUUUGUUUGCUCUCAUCCAGUCCAUUAUCGCGGCCAGGCAGCGGUUCAGUACAGCAACAGCCUCACCUGAAGAAGAUGAAAAGGAGAAAUAGAGCUGCGUAUCAUCAGCAUAUUGCUGGAAACGCACUCCAUAACUCCUGAUGACCUCACCCAGCGGCUUCAUAUAGAUAUUAAAAAGCAUGGGGGACAGAACUGAGCCCUGCGGGACCCCAUACUGGAGCACCCAGGGACUCGAGUAGUGUUCCCCAAGCAUCACCUUCUGGAGAUGAUUCUCAAGAUAGGAGCACAGCCACCGCCAAGCAGUGCCUCCAACUCCUAACUCCGCGAGUCGCCCCAGAAGGAUACCAUGGUCGAUGGUAUCAAAAGCCGCUGAGAGAUCAAGGAGAACCAACAGAGUUACACUCCCUCUGUCUUUCUCCCGACAGAGGUCAUCAUACAGGGCAACCAAAGCUGUUUCUGUACCAAACCCCGGCCGAAAGCCGGAUUGAAAUGGAUCCAGAUAAUCAGUUUCAUCCAAGAGGGCCUGGAGUUGGCGAGCGACCACGCGCUCUAGAACCUUGCCCAGAAAUGGAACAUUUGCUACCGGCCUAUAGUUGUUAAAGUUAUCAGGGUCCAAUGAGGACUUUUUUAGGAGCAGUCGCACUACCGCCUGUUUCAGGCAAGGUGGGACCACUCCCUCUCGUAAUGAGGCAUUAAUUACCUCCUUGGCCCAGCCGGCCGUUCCAUUUCUGCUAGCUUUUAUUAGCCACGAGGGGCAAGUGUCCAGAGCGGAAGUAGUCACCCGUAUCUGUCCAAGCACCUUGUCCACAUCCUCGAGCUGUACCAGCUGAAACUCAUCCAAUAAAACAGGACAAGACUGUGUUCUGGACACCUCAUUAGAUUCAACUGUUACAAUAUUGGAGUCAAGGUCCCGACGGAUGUUUAUGAUCUUGUCUUGGAAGUGCCUCGCAAACUCAUUACAGCGGGCUAUUGAUGGUAAUAUUGCGUCCAGAGAACCAGAGUGUAAAAGUCUCCGGACAACCUUAUAAAAUUCCACUGGGCGGUUACAAGAUGACUGAAUGGAGGUAGCGAAGUAUUGCUUCUUCGCCAUCCUCACCGCCUUCACAUAGCGUUUCGUGGAGGCCUUCACAAGUGCAUAAUUACAGCCGUCGGGAGUUCGUCUCCAUUUACCCUCCAACCGUCUCCUUUCUUGCUUCAUCACUCUUAGCUCCUCGGUAAACCAAGGGGCCAAUUGAGCUCUGCAAUGGAGAGGGCGCACCGGGGCGAUUGUGUCAACUGCCCGGGUCAUUUCCGUAUUCCACAGAGUGACCAGGGUUUCGACAGGAUCGUCAGUUUUAUCAGCUGGAAAAUCCCCCAGAGCCCUCUGAAAUCCUUCAGGAUUCAUUAGUCUCCGGGGACGGACCAUCUUAAUUGGUCCUCCACCCUUGCAGAGGGGAGAAGAUGAUGUGAGUCUAAAUCUCAAGAGGCGAUGAUCUGUCCAUGACAAAGGAAUAGAUGUAAGAUUCCUCACUCCCAGAUCACCUUCCCCCAUUCCAGUGGCAAAAAUCAAGUCUAGAGUAUGUCCUGACACAUGCGUCGGGCCAGCAACAAAUUGAGACAGCCCCAUGGCUGUCAUGGAGGUCAUGAAGUCCUGAGCCGCUCCAGAGGCGGCCUCGGCAUGAAUGUUGAGAUCCCCCAAUACCAAAAGUUUGGGAGAUCGCAACACCAAGUCCAAGACCACCUCUGUCAGCUCAGUUAGGGAAGCUGUUGGGCAGCAGGGUGGACGGUACACCAACAAUAUUCCCAGUCUGUCUCGCUGGCCCAACGUAGUGUGCAGACACUCCAGGCCAUUAGCCACUUGGAUGGGGUGCCUAACAAGAGAGAUGGAACUUCUAUAGACCACAGCAAUUCCCCCUCCCCGACUCUCGGAUCUACCCAGAUGCUGAACCGAAUACCCAGGUGGGCACAACUGGGAGAGAUUAAUACCUCCCAGAUCGCUCACCCAGGUUUCGGUAAUGCAUGCCAGAUCGGCCGCCUCAUCCAUGAUUAAAUCAUAGAUGAGGGAGGUUUUAUUAUUUACCGAUCUGGCAUUAAAGAGCAGCAACUGGAGAUCCGAGAGUUGGCUGGUAGAACUACCAGCAAUCCUGUGGAUGUGAGGAGGACCGGAACACGGCACAGCCACCAGUUGUCUGGGCCGAGUUCCCCUUAAGUGGCAAGUCCUCCUCACAGUGCCAUACCUCCCAUUACCCGUCACUGCGCUGAUUGGGGCCCCCUCUGGUCCUCCCUCCCAACACCCUAUCCUCUCCCCCAGGCACAUAAUAAAAAUAAAAUAAAUAAAAAAACUCAUACUCCAUACACAAUCACACACUCAUUCAUACAACCAUUCAUACACCCAAAUAGCAGAAAUAGCACAGCAACAACAGCAGGGUCCCAAUAGCCACGAAUUGCAACAGUGGCAGCUGUAACGUCAGGGGCUCAGAAGCGAUGAGCAGCAGCAGCAGCACAGGCAGGCAGAUGGCUCUCCCUCCCUGGGCAGCGAUGGUCCUCUUCCCUUGCAGGCAGUGGGUCUCCCAAGCCCCCUCAGCCAGCCGGCCUAUAUAUCCCCUCCAAAGAAGGGACAGAUGGAACAGUAUCAGCCACAGCUGGCUGAGUACCUGGGGCCUGGUCCUGCAAGGUGCCACGUGCAGGGCAGGAGCCCAAGAAGGAGAGAGCAGAGAUGUUAUCCAGCAGCAGCGCAGCAGCAGCAGCACAGGCAGGCAGAUGGCUCUCCCUCCCUGGGCAGUGAUGGUCCUCUUCCCCUUGCAGGCAUUCCCCUUGCAAACCAUUUUUCUGCUCUUUGCAGAUCACUGCAUUGCCUUUCAUUUUGACCAUUAUGAGAGAAGAUGCUAGGUAGGCUUUCCAUACAGUUGCUCGUCCUUUAAUACUCCAAUACAGCAACUGUAUGUGAAAUGUGUUGAGAAAGAUGAAGUAUUGCUAAGUAAUGGGUUGGUAUUACUAAGUUUGAAUGUGUUUCAUGUCACAGAGGUUUGAAGCAGUGUUCAUCACUGUUUGCUCUGGAAAAGGCCUUCAGUAUUAACCUUUAUAAUUUUUGUAACAGUUUCAUAAUUCUCCAGAAAAUACUUCACAGACCACUGUAGGUCCACAGAGCAUAUGUAAGAAUCAGUUAUUUCACACUUAGGGUGCUAAUAUCAUACUUAGGGUCAUCUGUAAACAGGAGAGGGUACUAGUUCUUUGGCUGUAGAAGUGGUUCCCAACCAGGGGGCCGUGACCCCCAGGGGGGCCAUGAACAAUAAAGAAAUGAAUUAUUUAUUAUUAUUAUUUUUAAAAGUCUUCAGUCCCUGGACACUGUCUGCUCCCACUGCCUUUCCAGACAACACCUCCCCCUUGCUCCAAACGAGAGUGGAGAACUUUUGCUGAAGUGCCAGGGCAUCUUUCAGGCACGCCAAGGGCAGGCAUCUGCCUAUAAAACAUGUGGCAGAUGCCGAAGGAGGCUGAGGGUGGAGCUACCAGGAAGAAGACGGGAUUACUAUCACCAACUCCUGUCUCCUUGCACUGCCACUGCUGAUGACGCCCUUACUCAGAAUGAGAGGAGAGGGAUUUUUGAAGCAAAAAGAAGCAAGGCUGCAAGGAAAGGCUGCUUUUCCCCAUCCUUCCUGGCCGCCAGUCUGCCUGCCUUUCUUGGCUCUUAAUUCACUGCCAUCUUCUUUUAAAAAUUAUUCUUAUUUGUAAAGCCGCCCAGAUCUCACCUUUGGCUCAAAUGGAGCCAAGGAGCAGUGAAGAAGCUCAGGACUUGCUCGCCCCCAUCUCUGAGGCUGUGUGUGUGUGCCAGCCUCCCCCCUUUCUUCCACCUACAAUCCGUCCCCCCAAUCUCUCUCUCCAAGAUGCUGCAGCAGUUGAGGGCUUCCCCCCACCUUGUGCCCAAAUGCAUGCAUGCCUGCAGAUGCUUGCAGGAGGGGCAGGUGUGUUUGUGUGUGUGUGUGCAUGUGCUGAUCUAUCUUCUGCUCCACUCUCAUUCCUCAAGUGCAUGCUAACCAAGUCAUCAGUUCUGAUGAUCACCCCAAGGCCAAAGCACUAACCCCCCUACUCAAUCUAUCCACUCUUUUAUCUUCACCCUUUAGCAUCCCCACCACUACCACAUUGCUGCUUCUUUUAUUAUUAUUAUUAUUAUUAUUAUUAUUAGUAGUAGUAGUAGUAGUAGUAGUAGUAGUAGUAGUAGUAGUAGUAGUAGUAGUAGUAGUAGUAGUUUAAAAAGCUCAGCUGAUUGGCUGAGGCUGGGGUCCACAUACUGUAGCUGAAAUGUAUGUAUGUAUUUAAUUAUUAUUGCAUUUAUAUCCCAUAUUUCCUCCAAGUUGCUCAAGGUGGGGCACAUAUUUCUUCCCCCCCCCCUUUUCAUUUUAUCCUUAUACCAACUCUGUGAGAAAGGUCAGGCUGAGAUACUGGCUGGCUCAAGGUUACCCAGUGGGCUUCAUGGCUUGAUGGGAUUUGAACCUGGAUGUUAGUCCAACACUGUAACCCACUGGUGUUGGGAGAUAGGACUGUACAUCUUCAGAUUAUGUGGGGGGGAAGGGGAUACCAAUUUGAUGAACCUUUUCAUUAAGAAAAGAAAGCAACACUUCCCUAUCUUCGGGGAGCUUUUUAUGGAAAGGGAUAUUUAGAGAUGUCAUUUUGCCACGCACCAUUUUUUCACUUAACAGAGGCUAAAAUUACAAUUAGCAUGGGGAGGGGUCACAAAGUUUUUUGAGCUUAUAAAGGGGGUCCCGUACUCAUAAAGCCUUUGGAACUGAAAGCUGUUAAGUACAGGUCUUGAAGGGUGCUGCAUUGCUGUUGCCUAACUGUAUUAUUUUAAACUGAGUUUGAAUUAUUUUAACUGUAUGUAUGAAUGAUUUUAAUACUGUAAAUUGUUUAAUUUGAUUUUAAUCUAGACUUUUGUAUGUUUUUAAUUAUAUGUGUGCUUUUAUCUGGAAGCCACCGUGAGUUCCAGUUUUGGAAAAAGGGUGGGGUAAAAAAAUAAAAAUAAAAAUAAAAUAAAAUAAAAUAAAAUAAUAAUAGUAAUAAUAGUAAUAAUAAUAAUAAUAAUAAUAAUAAUAAUAAUAAUAAUAAUAAUAAUAAUAAUAAAGGUUGGGAACCACUGUUGUAGAGCAAGGUUUGCUUCAUGCAUAUUUAGAGUCUUGUGGCACCUUUUCAGAGAGGUGAGGAAGUUGGCUUUAUGACUGACAGGUCACUGUGCACGGCCUUGCUCUGAAAAAUUGCGAGGUAGCUUUGUGGUUAUUCCAAAGGCCAGUAAGUACUGUAUAAGAAUGCCUUCUACUGAAAAAAGGUUACUCCUUAGCCUGAUCCAAGUGAUAAGCCCCUACAAGUGUCUAAAUAGCACCGGGUAAGGAGUCUCUGAAAAAACAUCUGUACGCAUAUGUCUGUGUACAGCAUGAGAAACAUCUCGUAAGAUACACACUGAAGAAAACUGAGAUACUCCAGAGGCGUCUGUAUUAUACACUGCUUCAGCUUGGGCCACAGGAACUUGAUAGAACUAUCUAUCCUUUCUGAUUAGGCCAAAGCCCUUUUAGCAUUGGCAUGAGCUAUAAAGCUAAAAUUAAUAAUAGUAACAGUAUUUGUCCCCAGACAAAUGCACAACUCAUCAUAGAUUCAAUGAUACCCAUGCAAAGCACAAUCUCCCAGCUUUGCAUAACUUGCUCCUUCAUGUGAAUUCUACCUUGAGCCUUAACAUUAAGCCAGGGGCAGCAUUCAGCAUUGCAGUCUUGCUUUGAAACAUCAAACAGCUAUUCAGCCUCCUUGAACCAGGAAGGGGACUUGUUUGUGAAGCAGGUGAAUGUGACAGAAACAACAGACUGCAGGGAUAUACCCUAGUCAGUCACUUCCAUCUAGUUCCAAGUAGAGUGAGUGGCAAACUGUCCUCUCUUUCACUAAGGUCACUGAAGAAUGGUCAAUAAACAGUCACAUCUCUCAUGAAAGAUGAAUUCUUAGAAUCCCCUCUAAGCCUGGAGAAUGAGCUCUGUCUUUUUUUAGCAGCAACCUUCCAUGAUCAAGCGCCUUUUGAAUGUACUCUCAUGUUUGUAUUAAGUGUCCAUGGAAAGCUGAGAUGUUCCAGAAGCAUCCGUUUUAUGUUAGACUUCAAACAUAAGGACAGGAACUUUGCAGGGUAAUUUUGAUAGUUAGAGAGGAGAAAGGGAAAAUGGGGGUUUUCCCAUGGCAUACAAACUGGGCAGUAGCCAUAGAUCUGGGUUCCAAAUAGUUGCUGUUGCAAGCUAAGGAUCUCUCACCACCGCUCCCCUUUGGUCUAGUAGGUUUUUCUACCCAUUGGGUAGCAAACACAAAAGAAGAAAACUCUGCAACAGAUCUUAACCACAACCAUUAAGGACCCUUCCCCUUGACUCAGCACAGUGAGUAUGCAUUAUUGCCUGUAUCCAAAAGUAUUACAUAGUAAACAACUGCUAUUCACAUGCUGUGAAUUCUGUGGUAUUGCAGUGCCUUCUAUUCUAACUAACCUUGUUAUUAAUAUGUAACAGGGAAGACCAACUUUUGGAUCUUGGAGUAGGGCAAAGUCCAUCUGAGAGUCAGAAGUAUGUUCCAUUGCAUAAAUCAACUCCUUCCUGAAUAGUCAAGCUCUAUAAUGAAGGCAUCAACUCUUAGCAUGCCAGCUCCAGCAAUAGACACAGUGGUCCAGCAUUUGACAUAGCAACGUAGGCCAUCCUGCAAUACAGCCUCUAAUAAGACCAGACUAGGUAGACACCAGGUAACAGGACUGUCAAAAACAAAGUAUGUUAGCAAAGCCUGUGGUGAUUACAUGUGUGCUAAGUGCAUUUGUGACAGGUAAGUUACAUCUCCAGUAUAAUACUGAUGACAUUCAUGGGUUAUAAUUCUUAACUUCAAAUGUAUUGCUGGUUUCUCUUUUACAAUUUCUCCUUGGUGGUGGCACCCUUUUCAUGAGACCACCUCCACCCUAGGCUUAGACAAGUGACAGUGUGAAUGGCCUUCUGGUGCUUAAUUUCCAGUAGGUUUGGUAUUGACUUCAAACCUGCUUGGGUCUUCAGAUGCAUCUUAUAAUUUGAAUGUUGAACAUUUGUAUUUUUAAAGUUGCUGUUCAUUGCCUUGUGAGUUGAUGUGAAAAGUGGUACAGAAAUGUCUUAAUAAAAUACUGUAAAUAAAUUGUGACAAAGGUGUACAUGCAGCAAUCACACAUUCUGAUCUACCCAUAGGUUUUUCAUUAAUUUCAUUAAUUCCAUUAAUGGCACUGCCUGCAAUGUAGGAACUGAAUACCUUGUGAAACUGUUUGAAGGUGUGCCACAGAAUAGGAGCAAUAAUGCUAACAUUGACUGCAUGAUCCGGGAGUUUAAUAAAACAACCCAAAUGGCUUAAGUGAGCCAAAUUCAUUCAUCUAUGGAUCAGUAUAUUAGCUAGUCAUAAAUUACAGCUAUUACCUUGGAGGUAAUGAAAGUUUUGCUGUAUAAUUUACUUUAAUCAAGCAAUCAAGAUAUUUCAGGUAUCCAGGUCCCAAGCUGUAUAGGGCUUCGUACACCAAAAUAAGAACCUUGAACUUGGCCUCGGUACCAAAUGGUCAGCCAGUGCAGUUCUUUCAGCAGCAGGGUAACAUGCUGGUGAUACCCUGCCCCAGUGAGCAGUCUUGCCGCUGCAUUUUGCACUAGCUGCAGCUUCCAGACCAACCUCAAGGGCAGCCCCACAUAGAGCGCAUUACAGUAAUCCAGCCUGGAGGUUACCAGUGCAUGGACAACAGUGGUCAGGCUAGCCCGGUCCAGAAACGGCUGCAGCUGUCUCAUCAGCCGAAACUGGUAAAAGGCACUCCUAGCCACUGAGGUCACCUGGGCCUCUAGCGACAAAGAUGGAUCCAGGAGCACCCCCCCCCCACAGACUAUGGACCUGCUCUUUCAGAGGGAGUACAACUCCAUCCAAAUCAGGCAACUGACCAAUUAUCUGAACUCGGGAACCACCAACCCAUAGUGCCUCCAUCUUGCUAGGAUUCAGACUCAGUUUAUUGGCCCUCAUCCAGCCCACCACCAAGUCCAGGCAGCGGUCCAGGGCUUGCAUAGCCUCUCCCCAUUCAGAUGUUACAGAGAAAUGGAGCUAGGUAUCGUCAGCAUACUGCUGACACCUCGCCCAAAAUCUCCUGGUGACCACUCCCAAGGGCUUCAUAUAGAUGUUAAACAGCAUAGGGGACAAGAUAGUACUCCUGCAGCACCCCACAACACAACUGCCUGGGGGCUGAAAGACAAUCACCUAAUGCUAUUUUCUGAAACAACCUUGGAGAUAGGAUUGGAACCACUGUAAAACAGUGCCUCUGAUACCCAGCUCACCAAGUCGGCCCAGAAGGACACCAUAGUCAAUGAUAUCAAAAGCCGCUGAGAGAUCAAGUAAGAGUAACAGGGUUGCACUCUCCCUGUCCUUCUGCCAAUAAAGGUCAUCCAUCAGGGCGACCAAGGCCGAUUCAGUCCCAUAACCAGGCUUGAACCCAGACUGGGAUGGGUCAAAAUUAUCUGUUUCAUCCAAGAGUACUUGCAAUUGCUGCGCCACAACCCUCUCAAUCACCUUCCCUAUAUAAUCAUAUUCUAAUAGUUGUUAGCUGGUAUUGUGUGCAAAAUGGUCCUUGAACAGGAUGUGAUUCUUCAUUAUGUAGUGUAGAAGGUUCUAAAGUUCUGUUGUUUUUUUAAAAAGGUUGUUUCACAGGAUAUUUCUAUAAAUAUUAGUAGUGCUUGGUAAACAGCCUGCAAUUCACUCUUGAAGUGCCCCCAUGAAGAAAGUUUCAACUUAUCUCCAAACAUUCAGAUGAGGCAAUAAAGUUGUUGCUAAGUGAUUUCAUUGGGUUCAGAAAAGAGAUUGGCUGUUUGGCAUAAUUCCGUUUUCUAUCUAGAUAUUGCUGCAUACAUGUGUAUUUAUAUUGCCAGCCUUAUUAGGAACAUAUAAUACAUGUAAGAGCAAUGUUAAAAUGUACAAUGUAUGUUCAGUCUUACCUUGCAAGUGGUUGGCCCUUUCCACUGGUGAGAUUCAAAAUCUUCUUUAUAUGCUCACUUUAAUGGCUGCCAGUGUAUUUGUGAAAGGGGGCAGGGGAUAAGAGUGUGAGUUGUUGGAGCAAAUAAGCAAAGGCCCAGUAUGCAAGUAAUUAUAUCAGCAAGAAAAAAGAUUAGAGGAGGGCCAAAGUGUUUGAAGCUCCACAGGUGAGUAUGAUGGUGAGAAUCUAAAAGACUCAAACUGGGUAUUUAGUUUCAAACUUCAUCAGCUUCACCAGCUGUACAAAACACAUUUCAGGCUUCUUCCAGAACUAUACAUUAUGAGCUGCUGUGGAAAAUGGCAUCCUUCUGUUGGUAUCUCCCCUCUUCUUUUACUAUACCACUUACCUUAUGUUGCCAUGGCCAUCACAUUAUCUUUAUUCCCACCCUCACCUCUAGCAGUCAAUUAUGUACAGCAGAAGUGUGUGUGUGUGUGGGGGGGGGGGAAGUAUAACAUGAUGAUGUCACAACAUGAAGGAAGUGAUAGGGAAGAAGUCAACAAGAUGUCAGUUUGGCAGUAGCCAUCCUUACACAGGAAGGAUAAUAUAUUUUGCCAUACACUGAACAUAAGACCAGAAAUAUUGUCAUUGGAGGAGUCCAACAGAGCUAGGAGUAUGUGUUACAUUUUAUUGGGGGGGGGGGGAAGCAAAUGUAAACUAAAACUGGUUUUGAAUUACAAUACAACAUUAAUAAACAUUUUCCAACUUAGAAAGCUCUUCAGUCAAGGAACAAAAAGUCAAGGAAUCUGGCCUAUUUACUUUAAAACCUGCAAGGAUAAGCUUGAGAGGAGACUGUCAGGGAUGGUUUAAGUUUUCUUGAGGGGUGUAAUUCAAUGCUUUAUGGAACUUUUCUGUCAGUGGUGGUGACAGAUGUUACUCUUACUUCAGGGUGCUUUUUGUACUCACAAUCUCUAAGAGUUUCAAAUAAAGUUUCUGGUAAAGCCUCCAAUAUUAUUUUACAGUCACAGCAGCUUUCUUGCAUGUUAGCUUCCUCUGGGAAUUAUGGGCACAUGACCUAGCCACCUGAGAGUACCAACCAAAGGCAAUUUUGUCACAUUUCUUUCAAAUGUUUGUCUAGCAACCAGCCAUGAGAACAUUAAAUGCAAAUAUCUCAGAAUCAGAAAGGACUUUUGCAUUUAAUAUUAGAGGAUUUAAAUGAGCUACAUUUGUUGUCCCACAUAACAAAUAUUCAUUCAGGUGUAAUUAGUACUAUGUCCUGCUAAAUUCAACACUCCAAUCCAUGUCCUGUUCUUUUUCAAAAAAAUGUUUUUAUUGAUUUUUUAAUUAAAUUGAACAAACAGAAACAAGGAUACAGAGUACAAUUUAUAGGUUUACAAAAAUAUUAAAGGGUUUACAUUUCACACUCCUAAGCAAUCACAGUUAGUCAUGUAUGAUGCCUGCUUUGUCUUGCAUAACCAGAAAUCUAGUUUUCAGCCAUGAAUACAUAACUGCACCACAAAGAGACAUGGGUAAUGGGUGGGGAGACGGUAGGCAAAGUUCUGUUGACAUAUGCCAAAAAAGGGUGCCAUGUGUCAUCAAAUUUAUCUCUGCACAAUUGAUCUCUGAUAAUGCGGCUGUGGUACAUUAAU